AGUUGGCUCAAGAGCUGUGGGUUACUGUUACUUCAUUAACAUUGUCACCCCCACCACUACAUUUGACUUACUUUGC
rnacentral:Y_RNA from 1 species